rfam:Oryza glumipatula chromosome 7, whole genome shotgun sequence.
AAAAAGUGCAGUUUUGCACUAUUAACGUUCAACGUUUGACCAUUCAUUUUAUUUAAAAAAUUUUUAUGUUUAGUAUUUUUAUUACUAUUAGAUGAUAAAACAUGAACAGUAGUUUAUGUGCGACUAAAUACUUUUAAUUUUUUUACAAAUUUUUUAAAUAAAACAGAUGGUCAAACGUUGGGUACGGAUAUCCACGGCUGCACUUAUU